UUUUUGCUGGCCCCUCUUCUACCUGCACAUGCACGCAUGGUGGGAUCUCAUUUACGGUUGGGCGUCUGACUCGCUAGGACGGCUGAAUAAUGCUAUACAAAUGUGCCCUUUUAGUGGAGGAUAACCUCGGGGCAAACCCGGGCUAAUACUGCCUAAUCUAUAAGGAGCAAAGCGGGCUGAUCUUCGGACCUCGCGCAAAAGGAUGAGUCUACGUCUGAUUAGCUAGUUGGUGGGGUAACGGCCUACCAAGGCGACGAUCAGUAGCUGGUCUGAGAGGAUGAUCAGCCACACCGGGACUGAGACACGGCCCGGACUCCUACGGGAGGCAGCAGCGGGGAAUAUUGGACAAUGGGGGCAACCCUGAUCCAGCCAUGCCGCGUGUGUGAAGAAGGCCUUAGGGUUGUAAAGCACUUUAAGCAGGAAAGAAAAGCGCCGAGUUAAUAGCUCGAGCGUGUUGACGGUACCUGCAGAAUAAGCACCGGCUAACUCCGUGCCAGCAGCCGCGGUAAUACGGAGGGUGCGAGCGUUAAUCGGAAUUCUGGGCGUAAAGCGUGCGUAGGCGGUUGCGUGUGUCGGAUGUGAAACCCCGGCUCAACCUGGGAAUUGCAUUCGAAACUGCGCGCUAGAAUAUGGUAGAGGAAGACCGAAUUUCACGUGUACCGGUGAAAUCGUAAUAUGUGGAGGAACACCAUGG
rnacentral:rRNA from 1 species